rnacentral:rRNA from 1 species
UUAACACAUGCAAGUCAAACGGAAGUCUUCGGACUUUAGUGGCGGACGGGUGAGUAACGCGUGAGAACCUACCCUUAGGACGGGGAUAACAGCUGGAAACGGCUGCUAAUACCCGAUGUGCCGAGAGGUGAAAGAUUUAUUGCCUGAGGAAGGGCUCGCGUCCGAUUAGCUAGUUGGAGUGGUAACGGCACCCCAAGGCGACGAUCGGUAGCUGGUCUGAGAGGAUGAUCAGCCACACUGGGACUGAGACACGGCCCAGACUCCUACGGGAGGCAGCAGUGGGGAAUUUUCCGCAAUGGGCGCAAGCCUGACGGAGCAAUACCGCGUGCGGGAGGACGGCCUUUGGGUUGUGAACCGCUUUUCUCAGGGAAGAAGUUCUGACGGUACCUGAGGAAUCAGCAUCGGCUAACUCCGUGCCAGCAGCCGCGGUAAUACAGGGGAUGCAAGCGUUAUCCGGAAUUAUUGGGCGUAAAGCGUCCGCAGGUGGUUUGUCAAGUCUGCUGUUAAAGCGUGGAGCUUAGCUCCAUAUCGGCGGU